rnacentral:lncRNA from 1 species
GUUUAAAUGAUGCAAAGUGAAUAUAGGAAAAUUGUUUUUUCUAGGGUCACGGUAGGGAGAAUGAGAAAAUCMCACAGGCAUGACUCAUCUUUGACCCGCAUUCAAAAAGGGUGACCAGGCCACUGCGACUCUGCAGGCCUCCUCCUCUUUCUAGCCUGGCUGUCCCAGAACCCAUAGUGGGCACCAGGCAAACACGGCAUCUUGUGGGUGCUAAUGAGAUGGUCAGUGCCUGAACCAGGCAGGAAGGACCUUCACUCAGCUUACUACUUAGCCAUCCCCUGGAGCUGGCUACGCCUGCUCCAUGGGGCACUGCGUUUGCAAGCUGAACAGCAUUGAUGGAGCAAAAACCCCAGACCAGCUCCAUACGCUUCCAUUAACCUUGGCACAGCCAGCUCAUUUGUCUGAGCUGUGGACAAAUCAAAGCGCAGUUAGCCGUUUCUGCAACACUCCAUUGUGCAGUUGCCUUGCAGCCACCAGUGAGUCAAUGAUGCAAAUUCUUCCUGGGCAGGAAGCAAUAGAUUCUGAGAGUGACCCAAGCUGA